rnacentral:lncRNA from 1 species
CAGAAACCUGGUGGCUCCUGGACCCUGCUCCUCAGCCCAUACUUGACACCAGGCUCAUGUGGCAAUGGCUCCAGUCACAAAGCUAUUGUUUUGUAGUGUAAGUGUGAUGUCCACUCCGGGAUCUUUAUUCAUCUACUGUAAGUCAUUGUGUGGAAUAACCCAGGCAUGCUUUGUCUGUAUUGAUGUACCCAUCAUUACACGGGUGGUGUGUGCAGCUCGGGCCAGCUCGUUGAUCCUCCGUGCCCCCAGCCAGCUGUGGGCUUGGGCUCUUCUCAGCUAGGCCUUUGCUUUUGUCCACUCUCCCUCCUCCCCAG